CCCCCCCUGCUCCUUCCUGCUCCCUAUUGCUGGCGCCAUCAACCUCCCAUGGACGACGCCCUCAUUGUGUUCGAUCAAAUGGGCAUAAAAACCUCUUGAGAGAUGGAGAUGCAGGUUGCCCCCAUUAUUCUAUCGUAGGUAGUAGGUCCUUAUCAUUUGUUCUUUUAAAUAAGCAGUGUGCAAGAUGGUAUGCAAUUUGUAAAUAUUAGGGGAUCAAAUGCAGCUGCUAGGAAUGGCGAAUUUAUAUUUAUUUUGUACUCAUCAGCUUUCUAAAUUGCAGAUAUUGAUGGUCCAAAAUGUAUAUAUUAAUCUGAUUUGAUUGAUUA